CAGAAGUGCAGGGACAUCUUAUCCGGAAACCACCACUCCCUUUGCCAAUAAAUUACACUCCACUCAUGGCGUUGGAAUUUAUAGACCUGGAUGACGAUGACCUCGAGCACCUCUGACAGGUCAGGAACGCUCCGCCGAAUGUCGUGAGGAAGCCACCGGCCCAACUCACAAACACGGCAUUACCGAAUUCGAAGCUAUACAAAGGAAAAGUGAAUUGAAGCAUCAUUUUAAAACAGAAUCCAAACUGGAGAACUGGGUUACCUGUGGAGGUGAUGAGCAUGAUGGAAGUCGGCUACGACCUUCUUGACAUACAGGGUCGUUAUGAUGAACGUCAUUAAUCCUGCACAAUACGUAUAGAGUGAAUGUCACCCAUUUGUCCCUUUGAGUCAAAAUUCAACAUCCAGUGACAAACAGGAAGAAAAAAAAAAGGAAGGUGUUGAUGACAGGAAACAGGAAUAAUAAAAGGCAUUGUUUAAUUUCUAUUGAAGAGUGGCAGAUUGAAAAGAAAUGUUUCUACAUAAAGUUGGAUGCAAUCUAUUGCGCAAUGUUUGUUGAAUUCUGUCUCCCCAAAAAACAAAAAAUCUUGGAAUGGUACCAGGUAUCAGUACUGAUAUCUGCCUGUCUUGAUAUCAGUUGGCUGCCCUUUUGUGGCCAUGUUACAAUCAGGUAUUAGAAAUUAAAUAUUGCCAUUAUUUUUAGGAAAACUGCCAUAUUGGGGGGUAUGUAUGAGAUACUAGUAACUAGUUGAUAUCAGCACACAUAGAUAUGAGUACUCAUACU